UACAGAGGUCCCAAGCGUUGUUCGGAUUACUGGGCGUAAAGGGUGCGUAGGUGGUUGGGUAAGUUUGAUGUGAAAUCUCCGGGCUUAACCCGGAAACUGCAUUGAAUACUAUCUGGCUAGAGGGUUGGAGGGGGGACUGGAAUACUUGGUGUAGCAGUGAAAUGCGUAGAUAUCAAGUGGAACACCAGUGGCGAAGGCGAGUCCCUGGACAACUCCUGACACUGAGGCACGAAAGCUAGGGGAGCAAACAGG
rnacentral:rRNA from 1 species